rnacentral:rRNA from 1 species
GACGAACGCUGGCGGCGUGCUUAACACAUGCAAGUCGAACGGAAAGGCCCUGCUUUUGUGGGGUGCUCGAGUGGCGAACGGGUGAGUAACACGUGAGUAACCUGCCCUUGACUUUGGGAUAACUUCAGGAAACUGGGGCUAAUACCGGAUAGGAGCUCCUGCUGCAUGGUGGGGGUUGGAAAGUUUCGGCGGUUGGGGAUGGACUCGCGGCUUAUCAGCUUGUUGGUGGGGUAGUGGCUUACCGAGGCUUUGACGGGUAGCCGGCCUGAGAGGGUGACCGGCCACAUUGGGACUGAGAUACGGCCCAGACUCCUACGGGAGGCAGCAGUGGGGAAUAUUGCACAAUGGGCGGAAGCCUGAUGCAGCAACGCCGCGUGCGGGAUGACGGCCUUCGGGUUGUAAACCGCUUUCGCCUGUGACGAAGCGUGAGUGACGGUAAUGGGUAAAGAAGCACCGGCUAACUACGUGCCAGCGGCCGCGGUGAUACGUAGGGUGCGAGCGUUGUCCGGAUUUAUUGGGCGUAAAGGGCUCGUAGGUGGUUGAUCGCGUCGGAAGUGUAAUCUUGGGGCUUAACCCUGAGCGUGCUUUCGAUACGGGUUGACUUGAGGAAGGUAGGGGAGAAUGGAAUUCCUGGUGGAGCGGUGGAAUGCGCAGAUAUCAGGAGGAACACCAGUGGCGAAGGCGGUUCUCUUGGCCUUUCCUGACGCUGAGGAGCGAAAGCGUGGGGAGCGAACAGGCUUAGAUACCCUGGUAGUCCACGCUGUAAACGGUGGGUACUAGGUGUGGGGUCCAUUCCACGGGUUCCGUGCCGUAGCUAACGCUUUAAGUACCCCGCCUGGGGAGUACGGCCGCAAGGCUAAAACUCAAAGGAAUUGACGGGGCCCCGCACAAGCGGCGGAGCAUGCGGAUUAAUUCGAUGCAACGCGUAGAACCUUACCUGGGUUUGACAUGGAUCGGGAGCGCUCAGAGAUGGGUGUGCCUCUUUUGGGGUCGGUUCACAGGUGGUGCAUGGCUGUCGUCAGCUCGUGUCGUGAGAUGUUGGGUUAAGUCCCGCAACGAGCGCAACCCUUGUUCACUGUUGCCAGCACGUUAUGGUGGGGACUCAGUGGAGACCGCCGGGGUCAACUCGGAGGAAGGUGGGGAUGACGUCAAGUCAUCAUGCCCCUUAUGUCCAGGGCUUCACGCAUGCUACAAUGGCUGGUACAGAGAGUGGCGAGCCUGUGAGGGUGAGCGAAUCUCGGAAAGCCGGUCUCAGUUCGGAUUGGGGUCUGCAACUCGACCUCAUGAAGUCGGAGUCGCUAGUAAUCGCAGAUCAGCAACGCUGCGGUGAAUACGUUCCCGGGGCU